rnacentral:rRNA from 1 species
GACGUAGGGGGCAAGCGUUGUCCGGAAUCAUUGGGCGUAAAGCGCUCGUAGGUGGAUCGGUAAGUCUGCAAAGAAAGACCCGGGCUCAACUCGGGGAACGGUGUGGAUACUACCGAUCUUGAGGCAAUCAGAGGAUGAUGGAAUUCCCGGUGUAGUGGUGGAAUGCGUAGAUAUCGGGAGGAACACCAGUGGCGAAGGCGGUUGCCUGGGGCUUUGCUGACGCUGAUGCGCGAAAGCGUGGGGAGCGAUCCGG